rnacentral:rRNA from 1 species
UACAGAGGGUGCAAGCGUUGUUCCGAAUUAUUGGGCGUAAAGCGCGUGUAGGCGGCUUUGCAAGUCGGGUGUGAAAGCCCUCAGCUCAACUGAGGAAGUGCGCCCGAAACUGCAGAGCUUGAGUGCCGGAGAGGGUGGCGGAAUUCCCCAAGUAGAGGUGAAAUUCGUAGAUAUGGGGAGGAACACCGGUGGCGAAGGCGGCCACCUGGACGGCAACUGACGCUGAGACGCGAAAGCGUGGGGAGCAAACAGG